rnacentral:lncRNA from 1 species
AAGAGGUGAAGAAACAUAUUGAAGUUGAGCAGAUGGGGAAACAAGUUGUCAUGAGUGCUGCUUAAAUAUAGUAGGAAACAAGGAAAACAUAGUACAACACAGGACAAGAUUAGACAUGGUGGAGAAUGGAGAACGCGACAGGUACCCUUGCCGUUGGGGAACAACUGAAAUGGUAACCACAAUUUUUUUGAGUGAAACAUCCUGACUGACAAUGACCAUAAGACCUUGGCCCCUGCCAGCAAACAACCAUAAAGUGGUCAGGUUCUAUCAGCAUCAAGGAAACGGAGAAACCUGUACAACAGCUAACAAACAUAAGACCUUUUUUUUGUACAGCAACAUAUGACCUUCAGUGAUCCCCUGCCACCAGUCUUUGGAACCCUCGGAGCUCUGCAACAAGUACUACGAUUUCUCGGUCACAUCAAAUUACCUUCAACCUUUGCUAGUGGUAACUAGCAAAGAUCAUAAUCAGGGAAUUACAUCAUUGGUGGAGCUUCAAAUUUCGCGAUGCCAACUAUCUUGACACCAGAAUACAUUGCCCUCUCCAGGCUAGCAGCAUGCACUUUCGUCAGUUUAUUAAACUAUAUUCAUAGAAGGGCAUAACUCCUGACAUCCUUUGAAAUUUCAACCCAUCUUAGCAGAACAAUUCAAACAACUAGAAUGGGUCUGUCAUCUAUAUUACACAAACUCGAGGUCCAGGCCUCCGAGUCCUGGUACUCAGCUCAGUGAUUCAAAGCGUCGCAUUCAAUAUUCAGAGAAGUAGAAGUAAACAAAUCUGCCCGAAUCUUCAGAGAAGACACUUUAGAACGGCCCUACCAAAAUUUCUUGAACAAGAACCUUCUUGAGGCUUGGGACUGUAUCUACCAGAAAUUUAGGCUCAAAUAACUAGAGACUAGUAAGGAUAAUCUGAAUAACGAUUUCCUUUACCGACGGAUAGGCUGCGGCCUGCGCUGCGGGGAACGAGCUCGAUCCAUCGAGGCUCCCGCCGACUCGCCGCCGUGUGGGGCACUGGAAGAACGGAGCCAUCCCCGAAAUGCUCACCGUUUGCUGAUGGGGGAUGAGCAAGGGGCC